GAAAAAGAGAGUUUUCCUCCUUCCCUGCAAUAACCAGAGCUCCAUGAAAACAUGUUUGACUAAAGAAGGAGAGGAGAUUUGUGAAUAGGUACAAAAGAUCCGUGAGAGAAGCAAGAAUCAAGGAAAAUUUUGCAAAACGAGCAAAUGAAUCGCAGAGUUAGGUUUAGAAUUGGAAUUUUGGUCAAAUGAAGUAAAACCAACCAACAGAAAAUAGACAUUACAAAUAAAACAAACUAACCCGAUUCACUGUCAACUAAAACCAAAUUUUUUAUUCGGAUGGAAUUUGAAUCAAUCAGUUUGGUCAGGUUAUUCAUUCCGUGAAACAAGGUAUGAUUUAAUUAUCAAAAUAAAGAGUAACAAAAACAAAACACUUCAUUCAUGUACUCUUCAUUUGAAAUCAAAAAUUUUACAAAAAUUCAA
rnacentral:misc_RNA from 1 species